rnacentral:rRNA from 1 species
UACGUAGGGUGCGAGCGUUAAUCGGAAUUACUGGGCGUAAAGCGUGCGCAGGCGGCUUCGCAAGUCAGGCGUGAAAUCCCCGGGCUUAACCUGGGAACUGCGCUUGUAACUGGCAAGCUUGAGUGUGGCAGAGGGGGGUGGAAUUCCACGUGUAGCAGUGAAAUGCGUAGAGAUGUGGAGGAACACCGAUGGCGAAGGCAGCCCCCUGGGCUAACACUGACGCUCAUGCACGAAAGCGUGGGGAGCAAACAGG